ACUCAAAUGAAUAGACGGGGACCCGCACAAGCGGUGGAGCAUGUGGUUUAAUUCGAGGCUACGCGAAGAACCUUACCCAGGCUUGACAUGGUUAGGACAGGGUAUGAAAGUACCUCUUCUCGCAAGAGACCUUUCCACAGGUGCUGCAUGGCUGUCGUCAGCUCGUGCUGUGAAGUGUUGGGUUAAGUCCCGCAACGAGCGCAACCUUUAUUCUUAGUUGCCAUCAGGUAAAGCUGGGCACUCUAGGAAGACUGCCGGUGAUUAACUGGAGGAAGGAGGAGAUGACGUCAAGUCAGUAUGGCCCUUAUGCCUGGGGCUACACACGUGCUACAAUGGCCGUUACAAUGGGCUGCUAACCCGCGAGGGGGAGCUAAUCUCAAAAAAACGGCCCCAGUUCGGAUUGGAGGCUGCAACUCGCCUCCAUGAAGUCGGAAUCGCUAGUAAUGGUAGAUCAGCCACGCUACCAUGAAUACGUUCCCGGGUCUUGUACACACCGCCCGU
rnacentral:rRNA from 1 species